GGCGUUCGAAUUGUAGUCUG
rnacentral:snRNA from 1 species